rnacentral:piRNA from 1 species
UCACGAAUGAAUUUAGUAUGGACACAGAU